UACAGUCAAAUCACUUUGAAAGCAUUGGUUUUCAUUCAUUCACCAAAGUUAAGCAAUGAUGAGCUGGGUCAGUACUUAUAUGGGGGACCACUUGGGAACACUGGGUACUGUAA